ACAGACUUCGUAGUGCCUCAAUCGAUAAAUAAAAGACCUAAACUUUUGUAUAAAAUAAACUUAAAUCAUACACAACAAAGAAAAAACAAAAUUGUUAUUUUUAUUUAAUUCCGGGCAUUUUCAUGUUUUACAUUGAUACCUUUUAAACCUUCUCUGGACUUCGGCAAAUAAUUCAAGACCAAAAUUAGCCAAAUCGGUCCAGCCGUUCUCGAAUUUUAGCGAGACUAACGAACAGCAAUUCAUUUUUAAAUAUAUAUAUAGAUAAGCGUAUACGUCAAACAUUAAACUGAGAUAUCGACAUUAAAUAAAAAAAUCACUGCAACCUCGAUAGUCUGAUAGAUAUGACAGCCAAAAAUUUUUUAUAUUAUUAUUUAAUAAUAAUUUAUUUCAAAUAUCUAUACAAAUAUAAAUCUAUGUUGUGUAAAAUUAAAAAUGAAACCAUAACUUUGGCUUUGGCUGUAUCAAAUUUAUCAAUUCCACAAUGUUAUAAAAAAAAUCAAGUGAACUGUCAAUAUUAAACGUAUUGCAUAACAUCAACUUACACUGAAAUGUAUGUAAAGGCAAUUGCAAGAGAGAUUCCUUUAAAGAAGAUUGUACAAAUUUCUGCUGACGCAAUCUAGUCGUCAAGGCUAGUAAUGCUAAGAUGCCGUUGUCUCCGUCAAAAGUUUUCUGUAAAUAUUCGAAAGUUGAAUGUCGAUGCGGAAACCAAAGAUAAAUUGCAUCAGGAAGGACAUCAUGUUUAUUAAAAAGGAAACACAAACUCGCUUUAUCUAGCUAGAGUAAAAUGACAAGUAUUUAAAUGACAAUUAAAACUCUACAUAGCGAAAUCAAGUAUUUAGUUACCAGAGACGCGACGUUAAUCAGAAUUUGUAUAAUUACAGUCCAACCUUCAAACCAAUCCUUUUUAAUGUCGGCUAGUUGGAUAGCCAGUCGUAAACCAAUAAGCCAAACCAAAUCAUAGCAUGGAAAGUUAGAUAUAGAAUAAGUACAUGAAUACUUAGGACAUACGUUUAUAAAUGACCUUAAAUGAAAUAGAAAAAUCAAAAGACUAUUUUCAAAUUCCAUUAUCAUAUUUAUUAAAUUCUUGACUUAAUAAAUCUCUUGUGUUCCUGUGGUUCAAACCUUUGGCGAAUGGAGAUUCAAAAUUUGUCGGGAAGAAAUAAAAACCGGUGACUCUGAAAAAAAUACUUUAGAUAAUAAAUAUUAAUAUUGAUA